CAUGGAAGCGAAUGGGUUGGGCCUCCAGCGUAGCAUACUGACACCUACCCCCACCCCCACCUGAUCGCCAGACCUCAGGGUUUUCCGGAGCUGAAGAAUGACACAUUCCUGCGAGCAGCCUGGGGAGAGGAAACAGACUACACUCCCGUUUGGUGCAUGCGCCAGGCAGGCCGUUACUUACCAGAGUUUAGGGAAACCCGGGCUGCCCAGGACUUUUUCAGCACGUGUCGCUCUCCUGAGGCCUGCUGUGAACUGACUCUGCAGGUGAGGGGUCCACAAAAGAGGGAAAGAUUUAUGCCUUCAGUCUGCCACCUAGCAACCUGUCUCCUGUUUCCUACAGCCACUGCGUCGAUUCCCUCUGGAUGCUGCCAUCAUUUUCUCCGACAUCCUUGUUGUACCCCAGGCACUGGGCAUGGAGGUGACCAUGGUACCUGGCAAAGGACCCAGCUUCCCAGAGCCAUUAAGAGAAGAGCAGGACCUAGAACGCCUACGGGAUCCAGAAGUGGUAGCCUCUGAGCUAGGCUAUGUGUUCCAAGCCAUCACCCUUACCCGACAACGACUGGCUGGACGUGUGCCGCUGAUUGGCUUUGCUGGUGCCCCAUGGACCCUGAUGACAUACAUGGUUGAGGGUGGUGGCUCAAGCACCAUGGCUCAGGCCAAGCGCUGGCUCUAUCAGAGACCUCAGGCUAGUCACCAGCUGCUUCGCAUCCUCACCGAUGCUCUGGUCCCAUAUCUGGUAGGACAAGUGGCGGCUGGUGCCCAGGCAUUGCAGCUGUUUGAGUCCCAUGCAGGGCAUCUUGGCCCACAGCUCUUCAACAAGUUUGCACUGCCUUACAUCCGUGAUGUGGCCAAGCAAGUGAAGGCCAGGUUGCGGGAGGCAGGCCUGGCACCAGUGCCCAUG
rnacentral:sRNA from 1 species